GACGAACCGUGCGAACGUUAUUCGGAAUCAUUGGGCUUAAAGCGCGUGUAGGCGGAUUCGUGCGUCUGUCGCUGAAAUCCCCCGGCUCAACCGGGGAAGUGGCGUGGAUACGGCGAGUCUGGAGGGGCAUAGGGGGGACCUGGAACUUCCGGUGGAGCGGUGAAAUGCGCAGAUAUCAGGAGGAACACCGGUGGCGAAGGCGGUUCUCUGGGCAUGUCCUGACGCUGAGGAGCGAAAGUGUGGGGAGCGAACAGG
rnacentral:rRNA from 1 species